CGUAAAUUGGGGACAUGUCAUGAUAUGUUUAUUAGACAUUAAAGAGGAAAUGUCCAGUAGGCUGCAUUCAAGUAGAGAGGAAUUUGGUAGUCAUCUGUUUUCAUCAUUUGAAAUCGCAAGAUUAGACUAACCAGGAAAUCAGAGCUUCAGUAAUCCCUGCGGCACCAACCUUGUCAUGUCCAGGGGGUGAGAGUCAGGGAAGCCCAGGGAAGACCAGAUCUGUGCUGAGGAUUUGGAGGAAUGUUAAACGAGGACUGGGAAUUCAUGAUUGGAUGUGGCAAAACAAUUUACUGGUGAUUGACAAACUAUCUCAGGAGACAUGGGGAGAAAUGACUAAUGGCAGAAUUUUUCUAAAUUCUGAUUAAUUAUGGAGUCUGAAAAGAGGCAUUGACUUCCAUUUCUUGCCCAAACACACAUUUACAAGACAAAGACAAAACCCACAAAGAAUGAAGAUACCAGUUAGCAAGAGAGGCUGGGAGUGGAUGGAAGAAUGAUAACUGACCUAGCAAACCAACAAAGUUAAAAUCUAUAUAUGUGGCUUAAAUGAAUAAAAAGACCACUCUUGCCAAUAAAUCCCAGGAGAAGGUACAAAAAACUGGAAACCUGCCAGUUGAGUCCUCUUCAAAGUUAAAACUGUUUGGGUAGUUUAAUAGCAAUAAAAACUGGAAUGAUAAUAAUUUUUUUUUUAAAAAAAGUCCAGCACAAUAAAUUGGGUAGGGAACAAGAGGAAGCAAAAAGAUCACAUAUGUUUGGAAAUUUGAGAACACCUGCCAUAGAAGUGAUUUUGAAAUUUUCAAUAAACAGCCAGUUGCAGUGGGACAUACCUGUAAUACCAGCAGCUUAGGAGGCAGAGGCAGGAAGAUCACAAAGCCAGCCUCAGCACCUUAGCAAGACCCUCUCUCUAAAUAAAAAAGAGAGGCUGGGGAUGUGGUUCAGUGGUUAAGCACACCUAGGUUCAAUCCUGAUAACCAAAAAUAAUAAUAAAAAGCAAACAAAAGGGAAUGAUUUCCAGUCUAUAAUGCUAUUCCCAUUCAAAUGAUGAGUCAAAAAUUUAAGGAUAGAAAUAAAGACAUUUUAGAUAUGUGAGCUCAAGCUAUUAAAACUAAGCUCCAUCAAAAUGAGAAAGCAGACCAAGGAAGAGGAAGAUAUGACUUAGAAUCCAGGAAAUGUCCAAGCUGUGGCAGGAAGACAGGAGGCCUUGGAGGGUGGUCUUCCACAGAAAGUGGAGCUAGCAUUUUAUCUGAUGCAUAUGAUUGUGUCACAAGAAGCUUUAUUUACUCUUAGGGUAGAGAAUUUUGGGUGAAUAGGAACAGAGAAAAAC
rnacentral:lncRNA from 1 species